GACACCCGACCCGAGCGACCUCCCCGCCCGGCCUCCGGGGCGGAGCCAGGAGCCCUAAUGCUAUGCCAAUUGGUCAAGAAUGCUGCCACUCAAGAAUGGGAGCCAGUAGAAAAGGCACGAGGAAGGACUAGUCUUUCACCUUCAUUGGGUAGUAGAACUGUCACUAAUAUGAGAAAGCCAAUAGAAGUGGAAACCGGGGUGUCACGCCCGGAAGGCGGGGUCUCGGGUAAAGACAGCGAAGCCUCUGCUCACUAGGUUGAUCUGGGUUGUCUUAUUGGUCUCUGGAAACGUCAGCCUGCCAAUGGUGUAAGGAAUCGAUCCUUAAACACAGGGUUGUCACUUGACACUAGUUAGUUCCGUAAAAUUUUCUCAUUGGUUGAUGUAAAUAUCACUUCGUCCCUCUGACCAAUGAAAGAAGAGAGCCACAACCCUUUUUUUUUCUGCUCUUUCUGAACCAUAGGUUGGCCGCAAACUCGAGGUGAUCCUCCUGUCUCAGUAUCCCUCCUGCUAGAAUUACAGGCUACUAGCGUCUAUGUCCUGAUUCUGACUGACAGCAGUGUCUGUCAGUCAGUUCUUCCCAGCUUUUCCUGGCUUUUGUUGUCAGUUUGUGAUAUUCUUUCUAAGCAGAGGGCCACAGUACUUGGAAAGCGCCACACCUCGAGAAAAGGUUCAGUGAUCAUCACGCCUGCGUUUUUAGGCACUGGGAGAAAACUUGUAUCUUAGGAAGCACCACAGAUGCCAGCUCUGGAAGAGUGCAGUGCCAGUGGAAGAUGAGUUUCAUAGCAGGUUGUGAGUGUGGUGUCUGAAUCCACUCGUUCUUCCGCGCAUGUUCCUGAAUGUUCCUGGGGAUGAGUCCAUAGCCUCAUGAAGCUAAGCAAGUCUUUUACCGGCUCUCAAGGGCUGCAGAAUCCUGCCGGGACAAAGAACCUCUCGUUACAACCCUGAAGGCCAAAUAACAAGAAAUUGAACCCUUGGAGAAUUGAGAAAGAAAGUCUGUUUGUUCCAUAUACAUGAAUACCAUGUUCCCCUUUUUGGUUAAGGUAUUUAAGAAUGGUGAAGAAUAAACUCGGGGCAUUCAGUAUUCACUGAAUUGCCCUGACUCUA